GCAGCGUGUCCCCCGGCGCCGGCGACACCGUCCCGGACCUCUGGCUGAAGUCCUCCUCGUCGGAGAAAUCGGCGGACGACGACAUGGAGCAUCGAAGUUUCCUGCUCACUUAGGUGGUGAGCUGCCACUAUAGGUUGUGUUUCCUCAAGGCGAGGUGCUACACGUCUUCUAGCAUGACGAGGACUUGAUCUAAAGCCCUAUAACGGAAAAAGCAAUCAUCGCGUUUGACAUCUCCCAGAAUGGAGCCAUAUAACAACAGAAAAAUCAUACAGGAUCUUAAUAAUGACUUGAGUAAAAUAUCUCCGCUGUAGUCCUUGUGUGACAAACCCAGCACUCAGAAAUGGCUGGUCCAUAUAAAGAAUCAGACUUCUGCAAGAAACACAGUGUGGGAUUCCUCUGACCAAGGCUCAGCAGACCUCCCCUCCCUGUGUUCCCUUUCGAGAUGCUGAAGUCAGCAGGUCAGAUGAACCAUUCCCUAACCGCACCUAUUUCUCUCCAUUGGCCAUAAAGGGAGCCCAAGCUGACCACUUCAGUCAUAGACAUCUAUACUGUAAGUAUCUAAAAUUAGAUAGGAUGGAUCAGAGCCAGAAUGACUAGGUUUUGGUCUGCUUUCAAUACUGUAUUCAUCAUUCCAUAUAUAUUUUAUCAUCAGAUUUCCUCUUAUUUUCCUCCUUCUACAUGAAAUAAUUCCAGUCUCUUCCAUCACUUUUUUUUUUGUCAGAGUUUUACAUGUCCAUAUUCACAGACAUCACUCUUGCUGGAUCCCCAUAAUUCAGCACAGUACUCUUAUAAAUUUGUAUUACUAAUAUAUAUAAUAGUAUAGCAUGUUUUUCUGUUCUGUUUAAAUAUUUCCCACCCCAUCUUCUUUUCUGAUCAGGCUAUACAUCUGAAAGACAUCUUCACUGAAUUGUCAAAAGUAAUUCAAAAGGCCCUUUCUGGAGACCAUAAACUUAAUAAAUGGAUAAAUGACUUUUCUCUGUAAUAUACCCAGCCUUGCAUUUAUGAACAGCAUGUGUGUGUUUACCCCAUUCUUCAGAAUUUCCUCAGUAUGGUCUGGUAUUUGAUAACCAAGUAUGUCAUACUCUGCAAUCCUUGUUAUGUUUUUUCCUAUUCUCAUUCCUACCCCAUUCAUUAAUAUAAAAAACAGGAUUUUGAAACUUCCUAAAAAACUUCUCUAACUUUUGCUUUUUUUAUUUACAGAUGAGGACAUUUUGGAUAAUGUGUUGAACCUUUUUCUUUCACUGUCUUAGUUUCACUGUAUUUCUUUUUAAUUCUUUGUCUGAUACUUUAAUAGCACCAUAUGAAUACAUCAGUGCUAUCCCAUGUGUGCAUUAUUGCUUUAGUGACAUGAAUCUUUGACUCCUCCAUUCUUUCAAUCUGCUAUUGUAUUAAUUCACCAGAUCCUUUUCCUCUCCAUUCCGGUUUCUACUGUCCCGACUGCCUUCAUCAUACCUUACCUAUUAUUUUUAUGCUUGAUGAGAAACCAUAUUCAUUCUUCAUUUUUUCCAGUGUGUAAGCAUUUUAUGUAGAAUAUAUUUGGUGUCGGAAUUCUAAUCUUGGAACACAACCUUUCCAGCCAGUACGUGUUUUCGGAGUCACUAAACAUUAACUUCAAGAGAAGUAAGAGCGCAUUAUCUGAUGUCCAGCUGAAGUCUACAGAAAUCUUUGCAUUAACUUCAGUGGACGCUGGACUGCAGCCCAGUUUACCUUCUGGCAGAACUUCAGUAAACCACAGAAAAAAGCACUAGCUAGCAUUAAGCCACAGUUCAGCACAAUUGGAAGAAUGACAACAGAAUUCAACUGUGUUUGCAAAUGCCUUAUUUGGGUGAGUCCCGUAGAUUAAAUGCACUUUUGCAGGUGCACUAACGAAUGUCAAAGCCAAAGGAAGCUCAGAUAGGACAUCCAACUUCGUGUGCUUGCUUUUAAGGUUUUUGACAGUGGUUGUGUAUGCAUGAGAAUUGUCAUCUAUUACCGUUGUCAAUUAAUAGCCUCAAGAAGCAGUCUUUGAAUUGUCAGUUACUGGCUGUUCAAAGCUUGAAAACUUUCAUGUAUAUGCAACCUACAACAUCUUAGGGCCUGGAGACAUUAGUAUGUGUAGUAUCAAAACCAUUCUCAAGAUGCCAGAGUUGUCAGCUGUUUUGCAGACAGGCUGAAAUAGAAUUAAACCCUGUAGUUGAAGUACCUACUUGAACUAAAAAGGCAGGUUUAAUUUAAUAACUUUAUUGUAUCAAAUUCCCCUGCAUGCUGAAAGAGAGAAAAGUGAGAGUCUUUCUGCUGCACAUAUAAACAUACAUACAUGCGUCUGUAUUGUAAGAACAGUCUUAAAUUAAAAAGUGACCAAGAUUGCAUUAUUUCCCUUCUUCUCCCAUAGUGACUUUCAUCCAAAAUAUCCUCAGUUUAUAAAGAAACAAAAAAAAAAAAACCCACAUUUAUUUAACUGCCAAUUCUGCAAGUUCAACCCAAAAUCGAGGAUUCAAGUUAAGUCCUCCAAACUACUUAUACAUCCUCUCUAAUAGUAAAGAUUGCUAAUUAAACCUAUGUCUUAGUUUUCUAUAGCAGGAAGAUUACGUACACUCAGUAUAUUACUUCACACAUGCACAAGGAGGAUGUAACUACAUUUGUUCUUUCUUGGGUCUACCAGCUCUCAAAAAACAGACUGCAACCUUUUUUUUUUUUUUUUUGUGGUUCUCUUGAUUUUUUUUUUUUUUAAUCUUAGCUAAGGGUUACUCCUAUAAAGAUCUGAAUCAAGAUUUAAAACAUCAAAUCUAAGAUUUUACAUUCAGUUUCUCAUUCCACUCCCUCAGUAACAGCUUUCACUGGUGCUUCUUUGUAUGCUUUAAUUUAGGAGAUAUUAUUCUUAUCUUCUAAAACCUAAACUCUAAGCAGCGCUGGAACCAUUUCUCAGAUAUUGAAGACUGCGAUUUGGCAUGUGUCAUGUUCCAAGGUAAGUCCACACAUUCAAAGGGAUUAAAAGCAAUUGUCUGUUACAUAACCUGAACAAGAUCACUUUUCCGAGUUCAUGAAAUACAACAUCAGUAACCUGCUUUCCAGUUCCUAAGCAGGCCCCCAAGUGUAUACAUACAAGCUCUUGUGUGAACCUAGGGUUUAGAUGUGAAUUUAGAAUACAAUUUUUAAUAACCCAUGCUGUAUUGCACUGCUGUUUUACACAAUGUGUUUGUUUUUUCCUAUUGUAAGGUUAGAAUUCCUAUCAAAACAGGUAAGCUGUAACACUAGGAAAAUCUGAUGAUGUGUAAGAAAAUAGCCAAAUAGCAUGCCCAGUCAUGCCUCAAAAUACCCUUUAAAUACUCUUCCCUGUCUAAAUCUAUAAACCACAGAAGCUGGCCUGUUCUCCAAGCAGUCCUAUCAUUCUCUGACAAGGCAGCUUGCAGCCCUCCAUGGCCUCCUUGUCUUUGUGAUGGCUUGUCCCAGUUCCUUCCCUGUUACCUUAGGGCACCACCAGCCUACAGGAACGGAACAAUUAUUUAAGAACAAAAAUAAAUCAGAGUACUGCUUGAUCAGUUGUCUGCAAGGGAGAGUUUAAUUUAGAAAUACUAGCACAUUCCCCAAGUAUGUCCCUCUUCCACCCCUGCUUCCUCUGUUUUCAUCUCAUCACUUCUCAGCUUAGGCAGUGUACAGUAUACAUCAAGAAUCUGCCAUAAAUAUUAAAAAUACAGUAAGAAGGAGAAUAAGAAAUAACACACAGAUUGCUAAACCAUGCAAGUGCUGCCCAACAUCUAGUACAAAGAAAUUACUCUUGUCUGUCCAGUGCGCUUGUUUGAAGCGUAAACUGGUAAGAGAAUUUAUGCCACCUCAGCAUGUGAAGAUGGAUCUGCACUUGGUCAAGCAUAAAAUAGAUGCGUAACUGAUGAGAGACUUAACAGGCAUAUAUAAAAAAAAAAAAGAUACCUAGGGUAUUUUCAGAUAGGGUGGAAUUCAGAUAUCUAUUAAGAUACCUUGAUUCAGAUACCAACAACAUAUCUGAACAGGUCUCUCCUUCAGGAGCAACUAGUCUAAGCUCCUGUUAUAGCCAAUGAAAAAUUUAGUCAAU